CAGCCGCCGCGGGAAUACGUAGGUGGCAAGCGUUGUCCGGAAUUAUUGGGCGUAAAGGGCUCGCAGGCGGUUUCUUAAGUCUGAUGUGAAAGCCCCCGGCUCAACCGGGGAGGGUCAUUGGAAACUGGGAAACUUGAGUGCAGAAGAGGAGAGUGAAAUUCCACGUGUAGCGGUGAAAUGCGUAGAGAUGUGGAGGAACACCAGUGGCGAAGGCGACUCUCUGGUCUGUAACUGACGCUGAGGAGCGAAAGCGUGGGGAGCGAACAGGAUUAGAUACCCCUGUAGUCCCUGUCUCUUAUAC
rnacentral:rRNA from 1 species